ACUAAUCACGAUGGAUAUCUUGGCUCUUGAAACGAUGAAGAACGCAGCGAAAUGCGAUAGGUAAUGCGAAUUGCAGAACUCUGUGAGUCAUCAAAUCUUUGAACGCACAUUGCAC
rnacentral:rRNA from 1 species